AAAGUCGUAACAAGGUUUCCGUAGGUGAACCUGCGGAAGGAUCAUUACUAAACAUGGAAUAUGUUAUUCUUAAACCCACUCUGAGUACUUGUACUUGUUGCUUCCAUGGGCAGCGAACUUUAUGUUUGCAUCUGCUCAUGUGGUGGACCCAUGGGAGAUAUCAAUAUACUCUGCAUUUUUGUGAUCUCUGUCUGAUUAUGGUUUAUUCAAUAAACGUUAAAACUUUCAACAACGGAUCUCUUGGUUCUC
rnacentral:misc_RNA from 1 species